AAGACCAAGCCUCGCCUUCUAACACCUGCCUCUCUACAGCCACCCGCUCCAGGAGGCACUGAGGGAAAGGGAAACAGGCAGAAGGCCAUGCCUCAGCUUUAACGUGGAGACAGACACUGCAUCCCAGAUGCUGAAGAAGCCAAAGAAGAAUGGAAGCAGUAUUCCUUCUCCUAAGCCCACAGCCUCAAGCCCAUUGGCUCCUGGAUCUGUUGCUACUUGCAAGGCUGUUUACCAGUGACCCUCAGGGCGGCUCAGCCUUCACACUGCCCUACCCAACUCUCACUGAAAUCUUAGGUCCCCAAGGAAGAAAAGCACACCUCUAAGGACUUGGAGGGGCUGAUUCUGGAUCUUAGGCAGUAAGGCCAUACUCCAUAGCCCUGGGAGCCAUUAAACCCCCAGGCUUCCUGGGACACUGACCCUGCAUUGCCUGUUUGGCCCCAGAAAAGUUCCUGACACAUAAUGGAAAUGUGGUGAAUAAGUGGUGACCGAACGUCCCAGAAUUGAGCCCCUGUGUAUUAGAAUGUUUUGAGACCCUGCCUGGCUUCAGGUUAAACUCAGGACAGAUUCCUAGAGAAGGAAUGGAACACCUGCUACAUAACACGCAUGUGUGUGUGUGUGUGUGUGUGUGUGUGUGUGUGUGUGUGUGUGUAAUGUGUAU